rnacentral:rRNA from 1 species
AUUGAACGCUGGCGGCAUGCCUUACACAUGCAAGUCGAACGGUAACAGGUUAAGCUGACGAGUGGCGAACGGGUGAGUAAUAUAUCGGAACGUGCCCAGUCGUGGGGGAUAACGUAGCGAAAGCUACGCUAAUACCGCAUACGAUCUACGGAUGAAAGCGGGGGAUCGCAAGACCUCGCGCGAUUGGAGCGGCCGAUAUCAGAUUAGGUUGUGGGUGAGGUAAAAGCUCACCAAGCCUGCGAUCUGUAGCUGGUCUGAGAGGACGACCAGCCACACUGGAACUGAGACAUGGUCCAGACUCCUACGGGAGGCAGCAGUGGGGAAUUUUGGACAAUGGACGCAAGUCUGAUCCAGCAAUGCCGCGUGCAGGACGAAGGCCUUCGGGUUGUAAACUGCUUUUGUACGGAACGAAACGGUGAGCUCUAAUACGGUUUGCUAAUGACGGUACCGUAAGAAUAAGCACCGGCUAACUACGUGCCAGCCGCCGCAGUAA